rnacentral:misc_RNA from 1 species
GAUGAAGAACGUAGCGAAAUGCGAUACUUGGUGUGAAUUGCAGAAUCCCGUGAACCAUCGAGUCUUUGAACGCAAGUUGCGCCCGAAGCCAUUAGGCCGAGGGCACGCCUGCCUGGGCGUCACACGUCGUUGCCCCCCCAUCUACUCCUUCGGGAUUGCGGGGGCGGAUGAUGGCCUCUCGUGCGCCUCGUCGCGCGGUUGGCCUAAAUGCCAAGUCCUCGGCGACGCACGCCACGACAAUCGGUGGUUGCGAAACCUCGGUUGCCUGUCGUGUGCGGUCGUCGCGCAUCGAGGGCUCGAAAAAAUUGCCGGGCUUCGGCUCGACUUUCAACGCGACCCCAGGUCAGGCGGGGUUACCCGCUGAAUUUAAGCAUAUCAAUAAGCGGAGGA